AUUUUACAAUAAAUAUGCCCUUCAUGAGUGUUUUUUUAAUUCCUUUCCACUUUGUUUUCCUUCAUUCAGCUUUCUUCGAGAAACAACUAAUAGCUGGCAUGCUGCACAUGUUUCCGCCAGGGUUGCAGCAUGUGGGUUUUUCGUUUUUCGUAGCGAAUUACGAAAAUUCG